CAGAUCACAGAAUGUUCACUUUACACACAGAGCCCUAAAUUUAAUCCCCAACACAGCAUAAAACUGUGUAGUGACAUAAUGCCUGUAAUCCCAGUAGGGGUGGAGGAAGAAAGGUCAUGAGUUCAAGGCCAGCUUUGGCUACAUAACAAGUUGGAGGACAGCCCAAACUACACGAGACCCUUCUCAAGAGGGAAAGGGACAGGGAUUUGUUCAGGUCACAAGUCCCCAUGUGAGGCACCUGAGCACCCUGUUCAUGCCCUCAGAAGGUAGAUAGAAGGAACCCCCAACUGUUAUGCCCCCAAGUGGACCCACAUCGAGAACCUGCUGGCUGAACACCUGCCUCAGGGUAUGGAUGUCAUCUCCAAAGUCCCACCUGGCAUCUCAUGGACAGUGCCUCAAAAGGUGACUGACUUCAGAGGUGCACCUUUGGCCCUGGCUAUUGGCAAGCUGGUUUUAGGUGUGUGCACUUGAGUGGGGGCACCUGCCAAGGCCAAAGGAAGAUUUGGAAUUGCUGUGGACCUGGAGUUGCAGGUGCUUGAUUGUAGGGACCCAUCCUCCUGAUUCGGGCGCUGGGAAGAGAGCUCAGGUAUUCUGCAAGAGCAGCAAGUACUGUUAACCACUGAGCCAUCCUUAUAGCCCACCUCCAGUUCUUUAAUGGAAUAUUUUCCAGUCUCUGAAUUGCCAUUUAAUUAAGGCUAAGCAUAGUGGUACAGCUCUUUUAUCCCAGAACUCCAGAGGCAGAGGCAGGAGGAUCUCUGUGAGUUCAAGGCCAGCCUGGUCUACAUGGUGAGUUUCAGGACAGUAAGGACCUCAUAGUAAAACCUGUCUCAACAUGAAUUAGAAGCUGUAUUCCAGGUAUUUGGAUUAACUUGAGAAACACUCAUGUCCUUGAACCCCACUUAAAACCCUGAAUAAAACAUUUUGGAUGCAGCGUAUCAUUAACCCUGUGUGUUCCAGCUAUACUGGGCUCUGGGGGAGGGAGGUGUGGGAGUUUUCUGUUACUACUACACCACCCCCCCUUCCGGCUCCUCCUCGCAAUAG
rnacentral:lncRNA from 1 species